UACGUAGGGCGCAAGCGUUGUCCGGAAUUAUUGGGCGUAAAGAGCUCGUAGGCGGCCUGUUGCGUCCGCUGUGAAAACCCGGGGCUUAACCCCGGGCUUGCAGUGGAUACGGGCAGGCUGGAGGCAGGCAGGGGAGAACGGAAUUCCCGGUGUAGCGGUGAAAUGCGCAGAUAUCGGGAGGAACACCGGUGGCGAAGGCGGUUCUCUGGGCAUUACCUGACGCUGAGGAGCGAAAGUGUGGGGAGCGAACAGG
rnacentral:rRNA from 1 species